rnacentral:sRNA from 1 species
UAACGCAGCGAAAUGCGAUACGCAAUAUGAAUUGCAGAUUUUCGUGAAUCAUCGAAUCUUUGAACGCACAUUGCGCCCUGUGGUAUUCCACAGGGCAUGCCUGUUUGAGCGUCAUUUCUCCCUCAAACCUCUGGUUUGGCGUUGAGUGAUACUCGGUUUACUUGAAAAACAUGAAAAGCAUAACUAUUAGGUUUUACCAACUCGUUAUACUAAUCUACAAGUUUGACCUCAAAUCAGGUAGGACUACCCGCUGAACUUAAGCAUAUCAAUAAGCGGAGGAAAAGAAACCAACCGGGAUUGCCUCAGUAACGGCGAGUGAAGCGGCAAAAGCUCAAAUUUGAAAUCUGCGUAAGCCGAGUUGUAAUUUGAAGAUGGCUACUUUGGUAAUGGCUCUUGUCUAUGUUCCUUGGAACAGGACGUCACAGAGGGUGAGAAUCCCGUGCGAUGAGAUGUCCAUUACCGUGUAAAGUGCUUUCGAAGAGUCGAGUUGUUUGGGAAU